rnacentral:tRNA from 1 species
GUUGCUGUAGCUCAGUGGAUAGAGCGCUUCCCUGCGGAGGAAGAAGUCGGAGGUUCGACUCCUCUCAGCAACGCCC